rnacentral:rRNA from 1 species
GCGCGUCCUAUCAUGCAAGUCGUACGCACGCGCUUCGGCGCGUGAGUGGCGCACGGCUGAGUAACACGUGGGAACCCGCCCUCCGGUGGGGGAUAACGCGACGAAAGUCGCGCUAAUCCCGCAUACGUCCGCAAGGGGAAAGCGCUUCGGCGCGCCGGAGGAGGGGCCUGCGGCCCAUCAGGUGGUUGGUGGGGUAACGGCCUACCAAGCCGAUGACGGGUAGCUGGUCUGGGAGGAUGACCAGCCAGACUGGGACUGAGACACGGCCCAGACUCCUACGGGAGGCAGCAGCAAGGAAUUUUCGGCAAUGGGCGCAAGCCUGACCGAGCAACGCCACGUGCGGGAUGACGGCCUUCGGGUUGUAAACCGCUUUUCGGGGGGACGACUACGACGGUACCCCCGGAAGAAGCCCCGGCUAACUCUGUGCCAGCAGCCGCGGUAAGACAGAGGGGGCGAGCGUUGUCCGGAVUUACUGGGCGUAAAGCGCGCGCAGGCGGUGGUCUCAGUGUCGUGUGAAAGCUCCCGUGCUCAACCGGGGGAGGUCAUGGCAAACUA